CCGCAACGUGAUUUUCCAACCAAUGUUUACGUUGCCGCCACGUUAAUUUACAACGUGGCGGCAACCGGAAAAGUGGAAGACGCCUUGAUGUUGCCGCCACGUUAUUUGACAACAUUACCGCGACAUAUCGGCGACAUGCAGGCAACCUUCCUGCAACUUAAUGGCCACGUAACCGCAACGUUAUAGCAACAUUAAAACCCAUGUUGGAUGUCGCCAGAAUGUUGUCAGGAUGUUAAAAAAAACCCAGCUCUGGGCGGAUCUGCAGAUGCAGUCCUCAUUUGCCCACUCACUUGGUUUAAGAAGAUCAGAGCGACAUUUCACAUUUGAUUACACCAUUUAUUUAAAUUAAUUUAAUUUGGGAGUUCCUGGCCGAUGACUUGAUGUGCUGCUGCUGCUCCUCCUCCUCCUCCCCUCCUCCUACUGCUGCUGCCGGGCCUACAAGCAAAGAAGAAAACCUUUAGCUUUCAGGGACCGAACUGAAGAGGGAUCGAUCCACCAUUUUGGAGACAACCGGAGGCAACAUUGAUAACCCUGACUCAGUUGCGACAGCAGAACCAGCAUCUCUACGGCUUAAGGACAACUUCAGCUUGAUAGAAAACUUGCAACACUUAAUUGACAUAUGAACUGAUGUUGGAUUAGCACCACUUAGCCUACUUGCUGAUCGAAUAAUUUGGUGAAUACAAUAAUAAUUGAAUUAUAAUUAA